rnacentral:tRNA from 1 species
UAUUAAAAAUGCAUAUAGCGAUUAAGUUUCGGCCUUAAUACAGGAUAAUAUCCUUUUAAUAA